UACGUAGGGGGCUAGCGUUGUCCGGAAUCAUUGGGCGUAAAGCGCGCGUAGGCGGCCCGAUAAGUCUGCUGUGAAAGUCCAGGGCUCAACCCUGGAAUGCCGGUGGAUACUGUCGGGCUAGAGUUCGGAAGAGGCAAGUGGAAUUCCUGGUGUAGCGGUGAAAUGCGCAGAUAUCGGGAGGAACACCUAUGGCGAAGGCAGCUCGCUGGGACGUUACUGACGCUGAGACGCGAAAGCGUGGGGAGCAAACAGG
rnacentral:rRNA from 1 species